rnacentral:lncRNA from 1 species
CAUCUUGAUAGCUGAGCUCCACUAUACUGCACCAACAACUAUUCUUCAAAUCUCCUUGUAAUUGCAAUAGAUUUUUAUUUUUAUGUAUGUUUAUGGGAAAAACGUGAUAGAUCGCUAACUCCAAAAUACCCGACCGACAACUAUCCUUAUAUUCUUGUAAUUUCAAUGGUAAAAGCCAUUACAAGUAACGGUUACUGGGAAGUGGGAGACAUCUAGCUGGAGUGAUUGUUGCUGUGAUGUUGGAAGGAGAUGUUUCCUUCUCCGGAUGCAGAGGCUGUUUUCCGAGCGUACGAGGGAAAGCUAGGAAUGUUGCUGAGUGUUCCUGUGUGUCACCCCAAGGCUCCUGGUGAGGAGUCCUGGAAACGUCAGGUCAAGGCGGAGUCUUUUCUGGUGCAGACAGACCAGACCAAAGGGGAGCGAUGGAGGACUGUUUGAGGACAGACUCCUAAUCACUCCGAGGCUCACUGCCUCCCAGCUAGGCCAGCUUAAUGACAACACCACCCUGAGUCCUGGAGGUUACUGCUGGAUAAUAACUGGAGUACAUCACAGAGGGUGAAUCAUUCUCUGUACUGUCUGCUCCUGCCUUUCUUCCUGUCCUGGAAGAAACAAUUAACAGUGGGGACUCUGAGUCGCAUUCCAGUGUCAGCAGUGUUCUGUCU